rnacentral:tRNA from 1 species
GCCCAGGUAGCUCAGUCGGUAGAGCAGCGGACUGAAAAUCCGCGUCUCGGCGGUUCAAAUCCGUCCAUGGGCA